GGGCGACAACUAAUUUCAAAGUUUCCUCUUCGUUUACUGGAUCAACGUCCUUGCUUGUUUCUGAUAAGUUUCUUGAAUCGAUCUUUAUCAGCUCCGGGGAGGUGAGAAAACUGAAGAGCUUUGAGUCUCUUCUUCUUGAUGUGUUCGUGCUUGAGUUCAAGAAUCAAGUCUCAGACUGCUCCUCGCGAAGUACUUGGCGAUGGCUUUUUCUUGAUGUCGUAGACAGGGGGAAAGAUAAGGCAGCAGAGUGAGCUACUUUUAGCUACAGUGAAGGGAUCUUGCUGUGAUUCUUGUAUGGGUAUAAAAAUUUAUACCCUUGUAGAUUUACUUUGGUGUAAAUUAGUUGUUCAUAUGUAUUGUAGAACUUUAUGAGCAGUUGUGCCUUAAAGUUUACAUUAAUAAUAUUUUUGGUUUUUCCUUUCGGUCAUUU
rnacentral:misc_RNA from 1 species